rnacentral:sRNA from 1 species
UUUGCCUUUUUCUUCA